CCUACGGGAGGCAGCAGUGGGGAAUCUUGCGCAAUGGGCGAAAGCCUGACGCAGCCAUGCCGCGUGAAUGAUGAAGGUCUUAGGAUUGUAAAAUUCUUUCACCGGGGACGAUAAUGACGGUACCCGGAGAAGAAGCCCCGGCUAACUUCGUGCCAGCAGCCGCGGUAAUACGAAGGGGGCUAGCGUUGCUCGGAAUUACUGGGCGUAAAGGGAGCGUAGGCGGAUAGUUUAGUCAGAGGUGAAAGCCCAGGGCUCAACCUUGGAAUUGCCUUUGAUACUGGCUAUCUUGAGUUUGGGAGAGGUGAGUGGAACUCCGAGUGUAGAGGUGAAAUUCGUAGAUAUUCGGAAGAACACCAGUGGCGAAGGCGACUCACUGGCCCAAUACUGACGCUGAGGCUCGAAAGCGUGGGGAGCAAACAGGAUUAGAUACCCUGGUAGUCCACGCCGUAAACGAUGAGUGCUAGUUGUCGGCAUGCAUGCAUGUCGGUGACGCAGCUACGCAUAAGACACUCCGCCGUCGGGAGGUACGGUCGCGAAGAAUUAAAACGUUAAAACGGUAAAGUUAGACGGCGUGAGACGUGCCGACGGACGACGACGAGGGAGGUAGG
rnacentral:rRNA from 1 species